rnacentral:rRNA from 1 species
ACUCGAGUGGCGAACGGGUGAGUAGCACGUGGGUGAUCUGCCCUGCACUUCGGGAUAAGCUUGGGAAACUGGGUCUAAUACCGGAUAGGAGCCAUCUUUAGUGUGGUGGUUGGAAAGUUUUUCGGUGUAGGAUGAGCUCGCGGCCUAUCAGCUUGUUGGUGGGGUAAUGGCCUACCAAGGCGGCGACGGGUAGCCGGCCUGAGAGGGUGUACGGCCACAUUGGGACUGAGAUACGGCCCAG